UUUUAAAAAAAAAGGAUAUUCGCGAAGAUUUAUUUAAAAAUAAUUACAUGUAAAACCUAUCUUUGGGAACCGCUGAGUUAAUAAGGAUUUGAUGGAGACCCUAAAUUUUGGUCAAAUUCAACUUGCCCGAAUUCCUGAGAGCCCAAAUUCGACAAGUCUUACUGUUUUAUAUUAACACAAUCAAAAUAUAGUACAAUUGCGGAAUUUAUCGUCAUUGAUAUACAUUUAUAACCCCAAUCUUGGGAAUGGAGAUCUCAAGGAAUUUUUUUUAGAAGAAGUGCACGUAUAGUUGCGUAAUAGUAUGGGGAGGUUUGUCAACAUAUUGUUGUUUCUCCUGGCCAUUUUUAUAAAACCGAUCGGAUCAUAAUCCAAAAUCCGACGAAAAGCGGAAAACGAUUAUUAAGUUAUCGCAAGAAGGUAUGGGUAAUUUGGGUAUAGCUCGUUCGCUCGAUCUUUCCCGCCACCAAAUUAACAGAGCCUUGAAAAUUUACGCCUCAGAAGGAAGGGACUACGCU